CGACCGGCGCACGGGUGCGUAACGCGUAUGCAACCUACCAUCAACAGGGGGAUAACACUGAGAAAUUGGUACUAAUACCCCAUAAUAUCUCAUGCGGCAUCGCAUGGGGUUGAAAACUCCGGUGGUUGAUGAUGGGCAUGCGUUGUAUUAGCUGGUUGGUGAGGUAACGGCUCACCAAGGCGACGAUACAUAGGGGGACUGAGAGGUUAACCCCCCACAUUGGUACCGAGACACGGACCAAACUCCUACGGGAGGCAGCAG
rnacentral:rRNA from 1 species